UGUCAGUGCUCCCUAAAGAAGUUAAAUGGA
rnacentral:piRNA from 2 species